rnacentral:snRNA from 1 species
GGAUGUGAGGGGAUCUGGCUGUAACAUUUGUUACCUCACUGAUCAGUAUUGAUCCAGGAGAUCUGGCUCAGUAGGCAGGUAUCCCCUUCCUCCCUCCAUGCUCCAUGCUCAGUGAAAGAGGAUGAACAGCCCCCAUAGAGGACAGUUCCUUUGUUGAGGGUGUACGAGUAGCUGUGCUCCCCUGCUAGAGUCUCCAAAUAGGCUCUUAGCUGCUGCACUGUCAGACCUCAUGAGGAUCUGAAAUAACAUCAGGGUAUUGCAGAAGUUCAGUGUUGACUGUUUCU